GUAAUAUAAUGAAAUGUAAUGACAGGAGAGCAAACAACAAGUGAUAAAGAUGUGGGGCUGUGACACAUUCACCUCCUCCUGGAUUUAGUGGUGUUAUAUUAAUGCAGAGGAGCAAAACAAGUGCAGUUAUCUCUCUUGAUAUGCCGAGGUGGAGGACCUGAAGGACGACGUGCGUCUCCGGAAAACAAGCUAGCAAGCUAACGGCAGAGGAGAAUGAGGACAGAGGAGGAAAGAUGGAAGAGAACCCGGGGGGAAGCAGCGGGCUCCUGCCACGUGAGGAGGGAACUGAAGAGG